UUAAAACAUCGGUUACAAUUCUUCAACAUGAACUCGAUUCUUCGCAUGGUCUUGUUUGUUCUCGUUCUUAUUCUUCUAACAAUUCAUUGUUCAAAAGUGGAAGUGAAAUAUCUACAUGUCUGCAAUGCUGAUCUGAACGCCGAACAUUGUCAUAAAACAUGUGUAGAUCAGAACUAUACUUUUGGAAAUUGUGUGGCAUAUUCGGCUGAAACGACUGAUCUUAUAUGCGUGUGUAGCAGAACGAGAAAUUGGGGCUGUUAAUUAAUUUAAAUUCUUGUAAGAGCGUAGCUCAAGAGAUAAAUAUAAAUAUCUGUAAGUUAGUUAAUAAACUGUUCGAUGCACUUAACAGA